UUAAUUCGAUGCAACGCGAAGAACCUUACCUACCCUUGACAUCCUGCGAAUCCCGAUGAGAGUUGGGAGUGCCGAAAGGAGCGCAGAGACAGGUGCUGCAUGGCUGUCGUCAGCUCGUGUUGUGAGAUGUUGGGUUAAGUCCCGUAACGAGCGCAACCCUUGUCCUUAGUUGCCAGCAAGUAAAGUUGGGGACUCUAAGGAGACUGCCGGUGAUGAACCGGAGGAAGGCGGGGACGACGUCAAGUCAUCAUGGCCUUUAUGGGUAGGGCUACACACGUGCUACAAUGGGGCGUACAGAGGGUAGCCAACCAGCGAUGGGGAGCCAAUCUCUUAAAGCGUCUCGUAGUCCGGAUUGGAGUCUGCAACUCGACUCCAUGAAGUUGGAAUCGCUAGUAAUCGCGAAUCAGCAACGUCGCGGUGAAUACGUUCCCGGGCCUUGUACACACCGCC
rnacentral:rRNA from 1 species